GAUGAAGAACGUAGCGAAACGCGAUAUGUAAUGUGAAUUGCAGAAUUCAGUGAAUCAUCGAAUCUUUGAACGCACAUUGCGCCCGCCAGUAUUCUGGCGGGCAUGCCUGUUCGAGCGUCAUUUCAACCCUCAAGCACAGCUUGGUGUUGGGACUCGCGUUAAUUCGCGUUCCCCAAAUUGAUUGGCGGUCACGUCGAGCUUCCAUAGCGUAGUAGUAAAACCCUCGUUACUGGUAAUCGUCGCGGCCACGCCGUUAAACCCCAACUUCUGAAUGUUGACCUCGGAUCAGGUAGGAAUACCCGCUGAACUUAAGCAUAUCAAUAAGCGGAGGA
rnacentral:misc_RNA from 1 species